rnacentral:rRNA from 1 species
AGCAGCCGCGGUAAUUCCAGCUCCAAUAGCGUAUAUUAAAGUUGUUGCAGUUAAAAAGCUCGUAGUUGAAUUUCGGGGUUAGUAGGUUGGUCAUGCCUCUGGUAUGUACUGGUGUUACUGAUUCUUACCUUCUGACGAACCAUCAUGUCAUUAAUUUGGUGUGGUGAGGAAUCAGGACUGUUACUUUGAAAAAAUUAGAGUGUUUAAAGCAGGCUCGCGCUUGAAUACAUUAGCAUGGAAUAAUGAAAUAGGACGUUGAUCCUAUUUUGUUGGUUUCUAGGAUUGACGUAAUGAUUAAUAGGGAUAGUUGGGGGCAUUAGUAUUCAAUUGUCAGAGGUGAAAUUCUUGGAUUUUAUUGAAGACUAACUACUGCGAAAGCAUUUGCCAAGGAUGUUUUCAUUAAUCAAGAACGAAAGUUAGGGGAUCGAAGACGAUCAGAUACCGUCGUAGUCUUAACCAUAAACUAUGCCGACUAGGGAUCGGAUGAUGUUAAUUUUUAAUGA